UCUUUAUCACCGAGUGCUUGCACUCACCGAUAAAGAGUUGAGUGGCGAACGGGUGAGUAACACGUGGGCAACCUGCCCAAAAGAGGGGGAUAACACUUGGAAACAGGUGCUAAUACCGCAUAACCAUAGUUACCGCAUGGUAACUAUGUAAAAGGUGGCUAUGCUACCGCUUUUGGAUGGGCCCGCGGCGCAUUAGCUAGUUGGUGGGGUAAAGGCUUACCAAGGCAAUGAUGCGUAGCCGAACUGAGAGGUUGAUCGGCCACAUUGGGACUGAGACACGGCCCAAACUCCUACGGGAGGCAGCAGUAGGGAAUCUUCCACAAUGGGCGAAAGCCUGAUGGAGCAACGCCGCGUGGGUGAAGAAGGUCUUCGGAUCGUAAAACCCUGUUGUUAGAGAAGAAAGUGCGUGAGAGUAACUGUUCACGUUUCGACGGUAUCUAACCAGAAAGCCACGGCUAACUACGUGCCAGCAGCCGCGGUAAUACGUAGGUGGCAAGCGUUAUCCGGAUUUAUUGGGCGUAAAGGGAACGCAGGCGGUCUUUUAAGUCUGAUGUGAAAGCCUUCGGCUUAACCGGAGUAGUGCAUUGGAAACUGGGAGACUUGAGUGCAGAAGAGGAGAGUGGAACUCCAUGUGUAGCGGUGAAAUGCGUAGAUAUAUGGAAGAACACCAGUGGCGAAAGCGGCUCUCUGGUCUGUAACUGACGCUGAGGUUCGAAAGCGUGGGUAGCAAACAGGAUUAGAUACCCUGGUAGUCCACGCCGUAAACGAUGAAUGCUAAGUGUUGGAGAGUUUCCGCCCUUCAGUGCUGCAGCUAACGCAA
rnacentral:rRNA from 1 species